rnacentral:rRNA from 1 species
UGGCGAACGGGUGAGUAACACGUCGGCAACCUCGCCAAAAGAGGGGGAGUAACACUUGGAAACAGGUGCUAAUACCGCAUAACCAUAGUUACCGCAUGGUAACUAUGUAAAAGGUGGCUAUGCUACCGCUUUUGGAUGGGCCCGCGACGCAUUAGCUAGUUGGUGGGGUAAAGGCUUACCAAGGCAAUGAUGCGUAGCCGAACUGAGAGGUUGAUCGGCCACAUUGGGACUGAGACACGGCCCAAACUCCUACGGAAGGCAGCAG